UACGUAGGGGGCAAGCGUUGUCCGGAUUCAUUGGGCGUAAAGAGCGUGUAGGCGGCCAGGUAGGUCGGUUGUGAAAACUGGAGGCUCAACCUUCAGACGUCGACCGAAACCAUCUGGCUAGAGUCCGGGAGAGGAGAGUGGAAUUCCUGGUGUAGCGGUGAAAUGCGCAGAUAUCAGGAGGAACACCGGUGGCGAAGGCGGAUCUCUGGGCCUUGCCUGACGCUGAGGCGCCGAAAGCUAGGGGAGCGAACAGG
rnacentral:rRNA from 1 species